rnacentral:rRNA from 1 species
UCUAAUACCGGAUACGACUACUGGGGGCAUCCCUGGUGGUGGAAAGCUCCGGCGGUGCAGGAUGAGCCCGCGGCCUAUCAGCUUGUUGGUGGGGUGAUGGCCUACCAAGGCGACGACGGG